rnacentral:rRNA from 1 species
CACACUAUCAUUAACUGAAUCCAUAGGUUAAUGAGGCGAACCGGGGGAACUGAAACAUCUAAGUACCCCGAGGAAAAGAAAUCAACCGAGAUUCCCCCAGUAGCGGCGAGCGAACGGGGAGGAGCCCAGAGCCUGAAUCAGUGUGUGUGUUAGUGGAAGCGUCUGGAAAGGCGCGCGAUACAGGGUGACAGCCCCGUACACAAAAAUGCACAUGCUGUGAGCUCGAUGAGUAGGGCGGGACACGUGGUAUCCUGUCUGAAUAUGGGGGGACCAUCCUCCAAGGCUAAAUACUCCUGACUGACCGAUAGUGAACCAGUACCGUGAGGGAAAGGCGAAAAGAACCCCGGCGAGGGGAGUGAAAAAGAACCUGAAACCGUGUACGUACAAGCAGUGGGAGCACAGAGCAAUCUGUGUGACUGCGUACCUUUUGUAUAAUGGGUCAGCGACUUAUAUUCUGUAGCAAGGUUAACCGAAUAGGGGAGCCGAAGGGAAACCGAGUCUUAACCGGGCGUUAAGUUGCAGGGUAUAGACCCGAAACCCGGUGAUCUAGCCAUGGGCAGGUUGAAGGUUGGGUAACACUAACUGGAGGACCGAACCGACUAAUGUUGAAAAAUUAGCGGAUGACUUGUGGCUGGGGGUGAAAGGCCAAUCAAACCGGGAGAUAGCUGGUUCUCCCCGAAAGCUAUUUAGGUAGCGCCUCGUGAAUUCAUCUCCGGGGGUAGAGCACUGUUUCGGCAAGGGGGUCAUCCCGACUUACCAACCCGAUGCAAACUGCGAAUACCGGAGAAUGUUAUCACGGGAGACACACGGCGGGUGCUAACGUCCGUCGUGAAGAGGGAAACAACCCAGACCGCCAGCUAAGGUCCCAAAGUCAUGGUUAAGUGGGAAACGAUGUGGGAAGGCCCAGACAGCCAGGAUGUUGGCUUAGAAGCAGCCAUCAUUUAAAGAAAGCGUAAUAGCUCACUGGUCGAGUCGGCCUGCGCGGAAGAUGUAACGGGGCUAAACCAUGCACCGAAGCUGCGGCAGCGACACUGUGUGUUGUUGGGUAGGGGAGCGUUCUGUAAGCCUGUGAAGGUGUGCUGUGAGGCAUGCUGGAGGUAUCAGAAGUGCGAAUGCUGACAUAAGUAACGAUAAAGCGGGUGAAAAGCCCGCUCGCCGGAAGACCAAGGGUUCCUGUCCAACGUUAAUCGGGGCAGGGUGAGUCGACCCCUAAGGCGAGGCCGAAAGGCGUAGUCGAUGGGAAACAGGUUAAUAUUCCUGUACUUGGUGUUACUGCGAAGGGGGGACGGAGAAGGCUAUGUUGGCCGGGCGACGGUUGUCCCGGUUUAAGCGUGUAGGCUGGUUUUCCAGGCAAAUCCGGAAAAUCAAGGCUGAGGCGUGAUGACGAGGCACUACGGUGCUGAAGCAACAAAUGCCCUGCUUCCAGGAAAAGCCUCUAAGCAUCAGGUAACAUCAAAUCGUACCCCAAACCGACACAGGUGGUCAGGUAGAGAAUACCAAGGCGCUUGAGAGAACUCGGGUGAAGGAACUAGGCAAAAUGGUGCCGUAACUUCGGGAGAAGGCACGCUGAUAUGUAGGUGAAGUCCCUCGCGGAUGGAGCUGAAAUCAGUCGAAGAUACCAGCUGGCUGCAACUGUUUAUUAAAAACACAGCACUGUGCAAACACGAAAGUGGACGUAUACGGUGUGACGCCUGCCCGGUGCCGGAAGGUUAAUUGAUGGGGUCAGCGCAAGCGAAGCUCUUGAUCGAAGCCCCGGUAAACGGCGGCCGUAACUAUAACGGUCCUAAGGUAGCGAAAUUCCUUGUCGGGUAAGUUCCGACCUGCACGAAUGGCGUAAUGAUGGCCAGGCUGUCUCCACCCGAGACUCAGUGAAAUUGAACUCGCUGUGAAGAUGCAGUGUACCCGCGGCAAGACGGAAAGACCCCGUGAACCUUUACUAUAGCUUGACACUGAACAUUGAGCCUUGAUGUGUAGGAUAGGUGGGAGGCUUUGAAGUGUGGACGCCAGUCUGCAUGGAGCCGACCUUGAAAUACCACCCUUUAAUGUUUGAUGUUCUAACGUGGACCCGUGAUCCGGGUUGCGGACAGUGUCUGGUGGGUAGUUUGACUGGGGCGGUCUCCUCCUAAAGAGUAACGGAGGAGCACGAAGGUUGGCUAAUCCUGGUCGGACAUCAGGAGGUUAGUGCAAUGGCAUAAGCCAGCUUGACUGCGAGCGUGACGGCGCGAGCAGGUGCGAAAGCAGGUCAUAGUGAUCCGGUGGUUCUGAAUGGAAGGGCCAUCGCUCAACGGAUAAAAGGUACUCCGGGGAUAACAGGCUGAUACCGCCCAAGAGUUCAUAUCGACGGCGGUGUUUGGCACCUCGAUGUCGGCUCAUCACAUCCUGGGGCUGAAGUAGGUCCCAAGGGUAUGGCUGUUCGCCAUUUAAAGUGGUACGCGAGCUGGGUUUAGAACGUCGUGAGACAGUUCGGUCCCUAUCUGCCGUGGGCGCUGGAGAACUGAGGGGGGCUGCUCCUAGUACGAGAGGACCGGAGUGGACGCAUCACUGGUGUUCGGGUUGUCAUGCCAAUGGCACUGCCCGGUAGCUAAAUGCGGAAGAGAUAAGUGCUGAAAGCAUCUAAGCACGAAACUUGCCCCGAGAUGAGUUCUCCCUGACCCUUUAAGGGUCCUGAAGGAACGUUGAAGACGACGACGUUGAUAGGCCGGGUGUGUAAGCGCAGCGAUGCGUUGAGCUAACCGGUACUAAUGAACCGUGAGGCUUAACCUUACAACGCCGAAGGUGUUU